AUACCUUUCUCGGCCUUUUGGCUAAGAUCAAGUGUAGUAUCUGUUCUUAUCAGUUUAAUAUCUGAUAUGUGGGUCAUUGGCUCAUGUGAUAUUAAAUUUAUUUUUUGAGGGAAGGUUCACCACAGUAGCUAGCUACUGGAAUCCGCAAGUGUCGCCUAAGUGUUGCACUACGGCUUGGGCUUGGCACAUCCCAC
rfam:Glycine max cultivar Williams 82 chromosome 15, whole genome shotgun sequence.